GUAUAUAAUUAGUUCUUCAUUAAGGUGCUUAAGAAAAAAUUAAUGUAAUUUAUUCUUGUGAUUCUUGAACUAACGUUACUAACAACAAAGUAUGGGGCAGCCUUUCCAAUCUCGUUAUUUUGCUUCACAGUGCACAUGAUAUCCUCAUAAACAUAAGAGAUGUAAGUUAUUAGUAUGAUGUCCUAUUUCAUGAUAAGAUCUACAGUCUCCACCAGUCCUCAAGAGAUACAGCCAGUUAUGCAAUUAUUAUGAUGACUUGAAACUCUAAGACUCAUACCCAGAAAUAAACCAGGUGAAAUCAGCAUAAGAGAUGGAGAAAGAAAAGCCUUUCCUCAUGCGCUCGUCCCCUAAUAGAAGAUAGCCGAACAAAUGAGGUAAAUUGGGAAUAAGGUAGAUUAUAGUAUCCUGAUAAUAAGGGUUUGCGAUUUGAGAUCGA
rnacentral:lncRNA from 1 species